GACGAACGCUGGCGGCGUGCUUAACACAUGCAAGUCGAACGGAAAGGCCCUGCUUGCAGGGUACUCGAGUGGCGAACGGGUGAGUAACACGUGGGUGAUCUGCCCUGCACUUCGGGAUAAGCCUGGGAAACUGGGUCUAAUACCGGAUAUGACCUUCCAUGUAGUGUGGGGGGUGGAAAGAUUUAUCGGUGUGGGAUGAGCCCGCGGCCUAUCAGCUUGUUGGUGGGGUAAUGGCCUACCAAGGCGUCGACGGGUAGCCGGCCUGAGAGGGUGGACGGCCACAUUGGGACUGAGAUACGGCCCAGACUCCUACGGGAGGCAGCAGUGGGGAAUAUUGCACAAUGGGCGGAAGCCUGAUGCAGCGACGCCGCGUGGGGGAUGACGGCCUUCGGGUUGUAAACCUCUUUCGACAGGGACGAGGCUUCGGUGACGGUACCUGUAUAAGAAGCACCGGCUAACUACGUG
rnacentral:rRNA from 1 species